rnacentral:rRNA from 1 species
UAAUACAGAGAGUGCAAACGUUGUUCGGAAUUACUGGGCUUGAAGCGCACGUAGGCGGCAUCGCAAGUGUGGGGUGAAAUCCCACGGCUUACCCGUGGAACUGCCUGGCAGACUGCGAUGCUCGAGUAUGGUAGGGGAGAGCGGAACUCCUGGUGGAGCGGUGAAAUGCGUAGAUAUCAGGAGGAACACCGGUGGCGAAGGCGGCUCUCUGGUCCAUGUCUGACGCUGAGGUGCGAAAGCCAGGGGAGCAAACGGGAUUAGAUACCCCGGUAGUCCUGGCUGUAAACGAUGGGCACUAGCUUGGGGUCUCCCUGUGUGAUCCCAGGUGAAGCAAAAGUGAUAAGUGCCCCGCCUGGGGAGUAUGGUCGCAAGGCUG